GUGUAUGAUGUAAAUCACAACAUCCUUUGCCAGAGGGAAAAAAAGUUUGCAAAUCCCCAGAGACCAAAGGAAAAAGACCAGCAUGCAAGAAGCACUUAAGUAAUUUUGAAAUGAGCACCACAAAUUUAUUUUUCAGGAUGAAGCAUCAUGAGCCCCAACCCUGGAAAAUUUUAAUCAUGACCUAUUGUUUCCUCUGAAAAUCUGCCCAAAUGACUGGAUUUCACUUCUAAUAGAGGGAGAGCACAGAAAAAUCUGGUUAAUAAAGACUCCAAAUGGGUUUCAGAUCAGAACCCACAACUUUGUCCUGCU